CAGCCGCCGCGGUAAUACGUAGGUCCCGAGCGUUGCCCGGAUUUAUUGGGCGUAAAGCGAGCGCAGGCGGUUAGAUAAGUCUGAAGUUAAAGGCUGUGGCUUAACCAUAGUACGCUUUGGAAACUGUUUAACUUGAGUGCAGAAGGGGAGAGUGGAAUUCCAUGUGUAGCGGUGAAAUGCGUAGAUAUAUGGAGGAACACCGGUGGCGAAAGCGGCUCUCUGGUCUGUAACUGACGCUGAGGCUCGAAAGCGUGGGGAGCGAACAGGAUUAGAUACCCCGGUAGUCCCUGUCUCUUAUACA
rnacentral:rRNA from 1 species